rnacentral:rRNA from 1 species
AGCGAACGCUGGCGGCAGGCCUAACACAUGCAAGUCGAGCGCCCCGCAAGGGGAGCGGCAGACGGGAGAGUAACACGUGGGAACGUACCCUUCAGUUCGGAACAACCCAGGGAAACCUGGGCUAAUACCGAAUACGUCCGUAAGGAGAAAGAUUUAUCGCCGGAGGAUUGGCCCGCGUCUGAUUAGCUUGUUGGUGAGGUAAUGGCUCACCAAGGCGACGAUCAGUAGCUGGUCNGAGAGGAUGAUCAGCCACAUUGGGACUGAGACACGGCCCAAACUCCUACGGGAGGCAGCAGUGGGGAAUAUUGGACAAUGGGCGAAAGCCUGAUCCAGCGACGCCGCGUGAGGGAUGACGGCCCUCGGGUUGUAAACCUCUUUCGGCAGGGACGAAGCGCAAGUGACGGUACCUGCAGAAGAAGUCCCGGCUAACUACGUGCCAGCAG